GGGUAGACAUAGAAUUUUCUUCUGUUCCAAAAGUCGCGAUUUCUUUCUUUCUCAUUUCUCAGUUCUUACUAGGCACUAGUAUCUCAGACUGCGCAAUUACUCCCUUGAUUCUCGAGGAAACAAUGUGUUGACGUGGUUGUCGCAAAUUUCAAAUGUAUCCAAUGAGCAGUCUUCAAGGUGACGUGUCCACAGGUGUAGGCUGAGGAUAGGCUUUUUCCUCUUAAAGUGUCGUGAUUGUAUAGCCUACUGCUUUGCCCUGUGUAUCCACCAGUGUAAAAAACUUGUGGUUUUGAUUGGAAAUAUCCUGUGAUUGUACCUUGGUUGCAGUCCUCAUUGCAGUCUGCUUGUCAUUUAGGUAUGUGGCUUUAUACUUAGGGGUCUUGAUCCCAUACUUGAGCAAGAAGAAUUACGUUCGGGUAAUCCGUUUUAAUUAUGCAGGUCAAUAUUACAGACGAUGGCAAAGGAUACUGCUCAAACCGGCUUAAGCUUCAAUGUGGGAAGUAAGUAAAUUGAUUUCGUUUUCGUAGGUGUUCCCAUUCCUGGUUAAAAUGAUGUUAAUUCGUGCGUGGCAUGUGAUCAUUUGAUGCAUAAGACAUUGUGUCAUUUACUGAUCUCGUUUUCAAUUUGUUCCCCUUCUAUUAGUUUGUUGCGAUGUGAAGUUCGUAUUCUUUGCUUUCGGAUGGUAUCAGGUUUUACCUCAUACGAGGUAUAAAGAACGGGAUUUUACUGCUUGUUAUAAUCCAUAUGCGAACUCGAUUGUGCUAGACUAGAUAAAUGAGUUCGAUUCUGUUCUGUAAAACAUUCUUCUUUCUUAAAUCUGAUGUUCUGUCAUAGUUACCGUAACAAAACAUUUCCUUGACGCAUGAAUAGUUGGAUGCCACAUUUAACAAUUUUUCCCGUAAUUUCGAAUGUAUGGGGUUAAAUCGAGUGUUUCGUUGGAAAUUUAUGUCUGCCAAACUCCAUGUUGAUCACGAAAAUGGUAAAAGUUGGUAGAGUUUUAAGAUAUAAACCUUCGGUUGUUGUAGACCCAUCCCCAGCAACGUCAACCUGCAGAAGGGAAGAGUUCGCAUAGCUUGACUUUCGAAGGUCAAUGAGAUCAUUUACGUAAAAUAUGUGAUACAGUGGUGUAGAGGUUGGGUGAGUACGCGAUGUUUUGCAUCAUU